rnacentral:rRNA from 1 species
CUACGUGCCAGCAGCCGCGGUAACACGUAAGGUGCGAGCGUUGUUCGGAGUUAUUGGGCGUAAAGGGCAUGCAGGCGGCCGUGCAAGCCCGGCGUGAAAUGGCGGGGCUCAACCCCGUCACUGCGCUGGGAACUGUGUGGCUAGGGUCGCCGAGGGGCAGCCGGAAUUCCAGGUGUAGGGGUGAAAUCUGUAGAUAUCUGGAAGAACACCGAUGGCGAAGGCAGGCUGCCAGCGGAUGACCGACGCUGAGGUGCGGAGGCGCGGGGAGCGAACAGGAUUAGAUACCCUGGUAGUCCGCGCAGUCAACGAUGUGCACUGGGCGUCCGCGCGAGCGCGUGGGUGCCGCAGCAAACGCGAUAAGUGCACCGCCUGGGGAGUAUGCCCGCAAGGGUGAAACUCAAAGGAAUUGACGGGGGCCCGCACAAGCGGCGGAGCAUGUGGUUUAAUUCGAUGGUACGCGAGGAACCUUACCUGGGCUUGACA